rnacentral:tRNA from 1 species
GCCUUCGUAGCUCAGCUGGAUCAGAGCGGAUCCGUCCUAGGGAUAUGGUCGGGGGUUCGAGUCCCUCCGAAGGCC